CAGCAUAGGCUUCACUGAGAGGACAUGUGAGCAAAGACAUGCAAGUGGUGAGGAAAGCUAGGACUCACUUGGCAUCCAAGAAACAGCGAAGAGGCCAGCAUGGCCGGAGGGGAGCGAGUGAUCAAGCAGGAGAAGCAGACGAGGCUAGAGGAAUCAUAGGAGGGUGCAGAUUAUGCAGGGCCUUGUAGACCAUGGCAGGACUCGGGCUUUGACCCAGAGUGAUGUGGGAAGCCACUGCAGGAUUUUGGGCAGAUGGACAUGCACAUUCUGCCUAAUAUGUUGAAAUAAACUGAAAUGGUGAGGAAGGAAGCAGGGAGACCAGUGAGGAGACUCCUGCAAUUAUCCAAGCAAGAGAUGAUGGAGGCUUGGACCAGGCUGAGGUGAAAAGAGGUCAGAUUCUGAACAGAAAGGGAGAGCUGAGGGGAUCUGCUGACCAUAUGAAUGUGGGGUGUAAAAGAAAGAGAAAAGUCAAGAACGACACCAAGGUUUUGAGUCUGAGCAACUAUGAAGGUGAAGUUUCUGCCAACUGGAACAGGAAAGACUGUAGGUGCUGGGGAGGGAAACCCAGAAUUUCAGUUUGCACGGGUCAAACUCCAGUCACAGUCACCUAUCAUACACCCUGGUGGAGAUGUCAAGCAGCUGGAGAUGUGAAGCAGGCUAUGGCUUCUGAAGAUAGGUCUGACUAGAGGUCACCAUCAUAGAGAUGGAAGUUAAGGCAGGAGCCUGAUGAGAUAACCAGAGGACAGAGAAGAGGGCAGGGCCAAGGAGGGAGCUCUGGGGGCCCCAGCCAGCAGAAAUGAGGGUGCAAACAGAUCAAGAAUAUGAGAGCAUCCAGCUCUGCCCCCUCCUACUCACCCGCCUCACAAAAGGGAGCCAGAUGGAGCUCCUGACCUCAGCAUCAUGUUAUCUGGGUCUAAGCGCAAUUCUGCCUACAGAAGACCCAGAAAAGUGAGAGCACUGAGUGUAGGUUGAAGGACAGGAGGGUAUUCACAAUUAAAAAACAGGCUCCACCUGGAUACAGCAUUCCAGGGAACUUUAAGGUAUGCUGAGCUUUAGGGUAUGGUAGGGCGAAACUAUAGGCUAAAUCAGAGCCACAGUUUCCUCCUCUGGAUUUGCUGUCCAGAACCCAGCAUGGAUGUAGCUGACGGACCUUCUGGGCUCUCCUGAGUUCCUCUGGAGAAGGCUAUGGUGUGAACCUUCCCUCUCCUUGUAUCACGGAGCCUGGGGGUCAGUCCCUCCUCACCCUGAGUUACUAAUGCCCAGGGCCUCCUGGCAAUUUGCUAUGCCUGAGGAUGACUCAAACUCCAAACACCCUUUGAGCCAAGAUGCCAGGAGUUAACUAGGGGGUGGGAGAAUCACACUGACAGGAGGGAGAGAUUUUUAACAGCUUCUAGUGAUAGAAAUAAUCCCCAGCCAGCCCCCUGGUACCAGUUUAUAUUUUCUCUCUCUAUUUUAAUUAAAUAUCUGUCACUCACAUGUUCGUGCUUGCUUCUCCCUUGUUGCCUAUGUAGAAGUUCAAUUAGCAGGGGUAUUGGGAGGAGCACUGGAUGGGGAGCCAGGAGCCCUGAUCUUCACACCUGGCUCUGCCUUAACUGGAGGUGUGAUCUUGGGCAAGUCCCUUCCCCUUUCCAGGCCUCAGUUUCCCCAUCUGUAGAGUGAAGGGACUGGACCAAACAGUCAGUCUGGUUUGCUCUGGCCGACCACAGCCUUCUAAACUCCUGGCUCUUCUUAAGACAUCCUCUGACACCCCACCUUCAGUUACAAAGUCUGUUUCAGCUGCAGUUCACUAUACUCCCCCUGGAAGUCUCAUAACCAUAUGUUGCAAGAGUAAUUAUCUUCCAAUUUCACCUUCCAAUUACAUCUUAAUGUAACUUUCAUUCCUGGGUGCCUGCUGGAAUGUCCAAGCCAAGCCUGAUGAUUUCUAAUUAGGCUGCUAUUAGGCCGGUCCAGUGAUCCACGACAGGGCACUACCAGCAAGACAGCACAGGACAGCGUGGGAAGAGGCUCAGGAAGGCUGCGCUUCCAUGCCAGCUCUGCUAUACGUCGGCUCUGUGAUCUUGGGCACAUCAUUUUGCCUCUCCGAGCCUCAGUUUCCUUUUUGGUAAAAUGACGAAAUACCCCGUUUUUUCAUAGGGCUGUUGAGAAGUUCAGGAAAAUAACAGACAUGAUGUCUAAUAAAGUCGACUGGCAAACAUUUCCUACACCCCUACUACGUGUUAGGCACUGGAUAAAAAAGCAGGCUCUCAGGGUGGACAGUCUGUGUUUCAAUCUUGUCUCAGACCUUCAAUAAGCCAGUGACCAUAAAAUCUCUGCACCUCAAUUUCACCAUCUAUAAAAUGGGGAUGGCAACGGUACUCACCUCAUAAGGUGACUGUGAAAACUAAAUAAACUGACAGAAGUAAAACACCUAAAAGCAAUACCAAGUCAUAGUAAGUACCCAAUAAAUAUUAGCUGGUAUUUACUGGUUGCUAUGCGACAGACACUGUUUUUUCUAGGCACCUUAUAUGUUUUAGUCUAUUUAAUCUUAACAACCCCGUUUUUCAGAUAAAGAAACUGAGGUGUAGAGAGGUUAAAUAAUCUGCUUAAGGUCACAUAACUAAGCAUAUGAUGGUUCUGAGAUUCAGCCCUAGGGUGUUGAAUCGGGGUUGAAGGGUGUUGGUCGGGGAGUCUGUGAACCACCAAGCCACGUGAUCAGGAAAUUCAGAAUGGUCUGAAUGUGAGGCUGGUAUCAUUACCAUCACAUUGAAAAAGGAACCAGGUUUACACUGAAGACAAAUUACAGGAAGGCUGAAACCAAGAGUGACAACGACUAAGAUUUCCUGGGACCAAACCUGCUUCUAAGUUUAUUCCAACUCACUCCAUCCCCCAGAUUCUCAGAGAAGGGAGGGUCUGCCCAAGCCUCAUGCAGGAAAACGUGGGAAAACUGGAGUCGCUCUCACCAUUGUUACAACGCGAGUUUUAUUAGGAGUGUAGGAAAAAGCUAGCCUGGCUCUGUUCAGGCCAUGCCAGCACAGGCAGGAGGCAACCCCCUUUCCAAGCAGUGGCUGGCUGGGCUCUGGGCCUCUGUUGCCACCUCUUCCAUUCCCGAAAAGUGGCAUCCCCAAUCCUGCUCCCCAAUUCUGUGACCCACACUCACUAACUGUCCAGGUGCCUAUAUGCCCAACAGUAACAGGGCCUGGACACGGGAGGUACUGCCACACUUUCAGACUGUCUGAACGCGCAGCCUGCACCUCACUGCUAAAACAAUGACUUUUUUUUCAUUAAAAAGAUUUUUAAAAGAAAAAAUCCUACACACACACACACACACACACACACACACGCACAUACACACACACACACCAGCAGGAUAUGGUUCCAAGACAGCCAAAAUGGUGGCUUCCUGUUUCUUUAGGGAUGUGUGUUUUGGAAUAUGGCUUUGGACAAGGGUGUUGGUCGGGGAGCGGGCUGCCUUCUACUAAAUACUGUGAGAAAAAGAAAAUAGAGUGCUGAUUGCUCCUUGGCAGGCAGAUGAAGUUAGCGGGGACUGUUCCCUUGCAAACUCUCAUCUUAAGGGAACUUUCUGCGCUCCCCGUAGAUGGAGUUCGGAAUCCCGAGGGCUGGGUUUCAGGCACCACCCAUCUCCGAGUCUCACUUUCUAAAUCCGUUAAAUGGCACUACUCUGGAGGGAUCCCUGCGAUUUCAAACACGUUUUGAUUUCACGGAAUCUCUGAACUGCAGGGAUGAGCUGAGGGAGUCACAUUCAUAGAGCAGGAACAUGACGGACUGGGGAUGGGGGAACCUGGAGAGGCUCAGCGCGGCGGCCAGGAGUGUCCCCUUGGAGUUGGGUCCCCCAGGAGAGGCACGAUGAACGUCCGCGGCCAGGGCGCUGCGAGGGAGGGGUGCGCUAUAGGGAGAUUAAUUUAAGGCUUUAUAGGCUCAUCUGGAGAGUGAGCUCCAAGCCUCGGGGUCUAUGGGGAGCGAAGGGAGCAGGAAUCCUCGUUCCUAAUGCCAAUCCCAGGAGGGCAGGGCUGGGUCUUGCCUAGCGGCUGCUCCAUCUCCAGCACAGAGAACAAGGAACUAUCUCUCAAGAGAAUGAGGAGAUAGACUGAGAGAAGUAAAGGUUCAUGCCAGAGGAGUUGAGGGUAAACCCAGGGUAAACCUGUGCCUUCCUGCUUACCCUCCCACCAAGCUGAAAGGGGCCUCAUGCACAGAGAAUGAAAAAGGGUGAUUUGACUUUCUGAGGAGUUGACAAGGUCACUGCCAAGGUCCACACCUUUGGGUUAAAGCAGGGGAGCCCAAACUCCCUGAUCUGAAGGAUCUUCUGAGCUGGGUAUAAUACAUAUUUUGAUGCCUGCCCCCAAGCCCAGUGAGGUGAGAUUCCCUGCAACUGGAAUGAGAUUCUUCAUUUGGAGAAACGGGGGUUAAGGCUCUGGAGGCCCUGUUAAAAGCCUGGGGUUGGGGGAACACAGGGACUCCCUUCUCACCGAAGAGCCUGAAGUCCAAACUAGGCUAUCAGAGGAGAACCCGGCCAUUAAUCAUUCACUCAGUGUGUGGUAGGGUCUAAGGGUUAGGGCCUGUCCAUGCCAUGUUGUGCCCAGCUCUAGAGAGUCAGGACAUCUCGGGAAGGCCCUGACAAGCAAUUGACUCCAACUUCCUACCUCUGACAGCCACCUGUCCUUAAAUUCUGGGGACAGGAAGCUCAGUCCUCACAGGGCUGACCUUUCCCUUGUGUGCUGGCUUUGCAGAACAGAGGUAGCAAUGUCACCUUCCCCAGUGCACCAGGAAGGGUGAUGGUUUAAAGAGAGGCAUUUUGAUGAGCCACCAGUGCCGACUCCUGAUUUAUUUUCUCCAUUCGAGCUCCAGAGUGGAGACUGUGUUCUCUCUGCCGGCCCUCUGGCAGAGGGUGAGGGAGGUAGUGGCUCUGGAAAGACCGUAUUAAUUAGCUUAAUGAGCAUUGUGCAUUUGUGUGUACAGACAUAGGAGGCAAGUGUGAACCUCUGUCACCGACAUCAUUAAUUGCUGGGGGUGCAUCUCCCCCCACCCAAAACCCAGACACUUAGAGAAAUGAAUCAGGCCCAGUCUGGGAACACCAUUAAAACACUUGGCUGCUCUGGGCGCCGGUCCAUUGCCCUGUGGCUGCUGGGACUCUGUCCUUCAAGAAGAGGCUGCUGUCAACACACACAGUCCCUGCAGAAGCAGCCUCCAAGCUGCCUUCCAGCAGGGGGGUCCCAGGCUGAAGCCUGGUCCUCUACAGCUUAGGGGAGUCCCUAAUGAGGGGGGCGGGUGUGGGGAAAGCACCUUCCACCCCCAGCAGAAGCCGCACACUGAAUCGGGCUGAUUAUUUCCUACAGUGUGAACUCUGACGCUGGGAUGGAGCCCCAGCCCCACCGCUCACCAGCCCUGAGCCCCUGGAAAGGCCCUGUUGCUUCUGGGUGUCCCUCUCCUCAUCUAAAAUGAGGCUUUUCUGGUACCUACAGCACAGCCCACUAGGAAGAUGAAGGAAGAUGGUGACCCUGAAGCCCUUAGCCCAGUGCCUGGCACUCAGGUAACUGUCAGCAAUGUUAGAUUGUUUUUACUGAGUAUGGUUUACAAAGUCCCUGGCACGUAGUAGGCAGUGAAUUAGGAUUUCACGUCCUUCAGCAGGUGGACAUUGUGUUUGGAGAUCUAAUCCACGUGCCAUUUCUCACUGACUUGAUAGUUUGGCUAACCAAUGUUUAACCUUUUAUAAAUACCAUUUGUUCACAUCUCACCUAUAAACAGGCAGCAGCAGUCAGCCCUCACUGUCCAGGCACAGCAUCCCAGGGUCAAGUCAGAUUCUUAAAUUGGAAGCCCAUGGAGAAUUUGCCGCUGGCUAUAAACACCUCCCUCAGGAUCCAGACACUCCCUGCCUGUCUGCAUAG